CCCAGAGCUUGUCCUUCCCUGGCCUGAUUCCUGCACCCGGAACCACGGAAAGGGAGGGGGAUCCUCGACGCGAGGGGAAGGCCGAGGGCCCGGCUGAGCAGGUCAGGGCCGCCGAGAAAUCCUCUCCUCCUAGAAGCUUUUCAGAGUGUCCCGGAGCAGACCCUGGUAGACCAGGACGCUCCACAAAAUGGUCCAGGAGCAGCCUGUGAGCUUGCCGAGGGCUGAGGUCAGCUCGUUUCAUCUCUGUGCUGGGCCCUGGGGACACAAGGCUCCUGAUCAGCGAAUGGUUUUUGUACGGGGAGCUGUUGAGAAGCUUCAAGAACUAAUGGACAGACUAGAGAAGCGGGUUUGGAAAACAGGUGAGCUGGAUAAGAAAAAUCUGACCACACACUGGGGACCGUCAGUUCUGCAAACCAGAUGGCCGAGCAGGCUCUGCUUGUAGCUUCUCAUGGUCUGCUGGUUCUCACCACUAAGGAGGCCUCCUCUCCAGCAAGAUGUCAUCAACAGCACUAGAACCAAAGCUUCCUGGGUAUCGGGAACAGAACACAUGCC
rnacentral:lncRNA from 1 species